CUGGGCGUAAGCGUGCGUAGGUGGUUUGUUAAGUCAGAUGUGAAAGCCCCGGGCUCAACCUGGGAACUGCAUUUGAAACUGGCAAACUAGAGUAUAGGAGAGGAAAGUGGAAUUUCAGGUGUAGCGGUGAAAUGCGUAGAUAUCUGAAGGAACAUCAAUGGCGAAGGCAGCUUUCUGGACUAAUACUGACACUGAGGUACGAAAGCGUGGGUAGCAAACAGGAUUAGAUACCCUGGUAGUCCACGCCGUAAACGAUGACAACUAGCCGUUGGGAGGGUUUACCUCUUAGUGGCGAAGCUAACGCGUUAAGUUGUCCGCCUGGGGAGUACGGCCGCAAGGUUAAAACUCAAAGGAAAUUGACGGA
rnacentral:rRNA from 1 species